rnacentral:rRNA from 1 species
GACGAACGCUGGCGGCGUGCAUAACACAUGCAAGUCGAACGGAAAGGCCCUGCUUUUGUGGGGUGCUCGAGUGGCGAACGGGCGAGUAACACGUGAGUAACCUGCCCUUGACUUUGGGAUAACUUCAGGAAACUGGGGCUAAUACCGGAUAGGAGCUCCUGCUGCAUGGUGGGGGUUGGAAAGUUUCGGCGGUUGGGGAUGGACUCGCGGCUUAUCAGCUUGUUGGUGGGGUAGUGGCUUACCAAGGCUUUGACGGGUAGCCGGCCUGAGAGGGUGACCGGCCACAUUGGGACUGAGAUACGGCCCAGACUCCUACGGGAGGCAGCAGUGGGGAAUAUUGCACAAUGGGCGGAAGCCUGAUGCAGCAACGCCGCGUGCGGGAUGACGGCCUUCGGGUUGUAAACCGCUUUCGCCUGUGACGAAGCGUGAGUGACGGUAAUGGGUAAAGAAGCACCGGCUAACUACGUG